rnacentral:lncRNA from 1 species
GGAGGUGAAAUUCGAGCAGAGACAGAAAGUACAUGAGCUGGUGACUCAGGAAGAAGAACUCUUCUUGACAAAGAAAAAAACGUGAAAUGGUUUUAAAGAGGGAAUGUGUUGGGGUCUUUGAGAAACUGCAAGUUGGUCAGGGAUUCAGAAGUGAAAGCAAACUGGGCAGGAAUAGAAAGAGCUGAGAUCAGAAAGGCAAUGGGCAAGACCCUGGAUCCCAACUGGGCAGGAAUAGAAAGAGCUGAGAUCAGAAAGGCAAUGGGCAAGACCCUGGAUCCCUGUACACACCUAGCAAGGACUCUGAUGUUUUUUUCUAGAUGUGAUGGGAAGGGUUUGGAGAAUUCUGAGCAUGCAAAAGACAUGCCUUGAUUUUUAUAUUCUUAAGAAUCAUUGUGACUUCACUAUGAAAUACAGAGCAUAGGGGGUGAGAAUGAAAACAGGGAGAUGAGGCAGGAGGCUCUUGCCCUAGCCCAGGAGAGAGUGGAUUAUAUCUUAGACCAGCAUGGAAUCUUGAGAAGAUGAGCUAUGUAUUAAAGGUAAGGCCAACAGGAUCUGAUGAUGGAUUUGGUGUGUUGUCACAGAAGAGGAGAGGUGUGAGAAAGGCUCCAAGGAUCAUGGCCGGAGUGACCAGCGAAGAGAGAAGAGAACCCACUUGUUACCUGGAAAUACCGGGAAAGGAGCAAGUUUUGGAGUGUGGGUGAAGGGCAGUCAAGAAGUCUGUCUUGAAUGUCAAGUAGAAAUCAGGUCACUCCUCGACUCAGAGUCUUCCAGUGGCAUCCCAUCUCUCUCAUGACAAAGGCAACAUCCUCACAGUGACCCAGAUUCCUGAAUGACCUCCUCUCCUACCCCUCUUCUCUUCUCUUGCUCUACUCCAGGUACACUGGCUGUAUUUGUCCAGCUGCUGAUAAAGACAUACCUCAGACUGGGCAAUUUAUGAAAGAGGUUUAAUAGACUCACAGUUCCACGUGGCUGGGGAGACCUCACAAUCAUGGUGGAAGGUAAAAGGCACAUCUCACAUGGCAUCAGGCAAGAGAAGAGAACUUGUGCAGGGAAACUUCCCUUUACAAAACCAUCAAAUCUCCUGAGAUUUAUUCACCAUUAUGAGAGCAGCAUGGGAAAGACCCACCCCUGUGAUUCAAUUACCUCCCACCAGGUCCCUCCCACAACACAUGGGAAUUGUGGGAGCUACAAUUCAAGAUGAGAUUUGGGUGGGGACACAGCCAAACCAUAUCACUGGCCCUCAAGGCCACUGGAGCAUGCCAUGAAGUCUGCUGCCUCGGGGUCUUUGUAUCUUCUAUCCAGAAUGCUCUUCUGCAUUUCACACCUCUAUGCCCUCUCCCCUAGACCUUCUCAGGCAUCCCAUCUAAAAGCAUAACCCUCUUUCUAUCAAUUCUCUCUGUUUUCCUUACUUUAUUUUAUUUAAUUUUUUUUUUUUGAGACAGAGUAUUGCUCUGUCCACCCAGGCUGGAGUGCAGUGGUGUGAUCUCGGCUCACUGCAAGCUCCGCCUCCCUGGGAUAAAGUGAUUCUCCUGCCUCAGCCUCCCAAGUAGCUGGGACUACAGGCACGGGCCACCAUGCCUGGCUAAUUUUUGUAUUUUUAGUAGAGAUGGGGUUUCACCAUAUUGGCCAAGCUGGUCUUGAACUCCUGACCUUGUUAUCUGCCUGCCUUGGCCUCCCAAAGUGCUGGGAUUACAAGCAUGAGCCACUGCACCCUGCCUUCCUUACUUUAUUUUUUCCUUAGCAGGCAUCACUACCUAAUAUACCACACAUGAUUUUAACCAAAAAUAUAUCAUUUUUAAUAGUCCGGUUGGUUCUCCACUGGAGGGGAAGGUCCAUGCAGGCAGGAUUUUCUUUUUAUCUGUGUCAUACUCAAUCCCUAGUGAGUCAAAGAAGACCUGGCACAUAAUAGGGGUUACAUAAACAUCUGUGGAAUGGAAGAAAGAGAGAAUAAUUUACGAAAUAAGUAGUGCUAUUAAACAGGCAUUGUACCUGCACAGGAGUCUAGAAUUUAAGGAAGAAACUUGUGACUCGUGUAUAAGGAAAUGUUUUAAAAAAAUAUUCACCAUUUAUCCAGCCCUCUUACUGAUCUCUUUUCUUAUGGACAUGAAUGUCAGAUGUGUUGUUAUUUUUAUUUUCUUUCCCUUUGAAUUAGACAAACAUAUCACCUUCAAAAAAAGAAAAGACAAUUUGUUUCUUCCUUAUUAUAUAUUUUUUUUCUUGUCUGAUUGCAUUGGGCAGGACAUUCAGAAAAAUGUUGAAUAGCAACAUAUAAGUUGCCUACAUACACCAUUUUCCAUUAAACAUUUUAAAUUGCCACAUUUUAUAGGUUGUAUACUGUGAUAUCUUGUUUUAAAAAAAC